AUUGAACGCUGGUGGCAGGCCUAACACAUGCAAGUCGAGCGAGCGGCGGACGGGUGAGUAAUGUCUGGGAAACUGCCUGAUGGAGGGGGAGAACUACUGGAAACGGUAGAUAAUACCGCAUACCAUCAGAUGUGCCCAGAUGGGAUUAGCUCGUAGGUGGGGUAACGGCUCACCCAGGCGACGAUCCCUAGCUGGUCUGAGAGGAUGACCAGCCACACUGGAACGGAGACACGGUCCAGACUCCUACGGGAGGCAGCAUGGGGGAAUAUUGCACAAUGGGCGCAAGCCUGAUGCAGCCAUGCCGCGUGUGUGAAGAAGGCCUUCGGGUUGUAAAGCACUUUCAGCGGGGAGGCGUUACCCGCAGAAGAAGCACCGGCUAACUCCGUGCCAGCAGCCGCGGUAAUAC
rnacentral:rRNA from 1 species